rnacentral:rRNA from 1 species
UACGGAGGGUGCGAGCGUUGCUCGGAAUCACUGGGCGUAAAGGGUGCGUAGGCGGAUCUUUAAGUCAGAGGUGAAAGCCUGGAGCUCAACUCCAGAACUGCCUUUGAUACUGGGGAUCUUGAGUUCGGGAGAGGUGAGUGGAACUGCGAGCGUAGAGGUGAAAUUCGUAGAUAUUCGCAAGAACACCAGUGGCGAAGGCGGCUCACUGGCCCGAUACUGAUGCUGAGGCACGAAAGCGUGGGGAGCAAACAGG